rnacentral:tRNA from 1 species
GAAAGGGCCAUAAGAACUGCUAACUCACAAACCUGAUACUAUCCUUCAGACUUUC